UGUCUAAGGACUGGUAGUUGAUUGAGGAGGUUUGGUGUCCUUGGUAGGCAAUGUGGGGUUUGGCAACUCAGGCAAGUGGGGAAAAGCUGGCAGUUCAGGUUUUGAUAACUCGGGCAAUUGAGGUUUUGGAAGAGUGGGAAUUUCAAGCUUUGGCAACUCAGGCAAUUCAGGUUUUGGCAGUGUGGGAAGUUCAGGUUUAGGAAAGGUUGGAACUUCAGGCAAUGGUGGAAAGUCAACCUUAGGCAGAGAUGGUAGCUCAGGCAACUCAGGCUUGGGAAGCUCAGGUACCUUCGGCAAUGUUGUCUCUAAAAGUUGUCGUGCAUCUGCGGAGAUUGAUAGAGCGAUGAGCGAGAGCAUAAUGAUGAGGGAAGGGGAGCGAAGAUUGGCCAUAAUUUGGCGACAGGAUCAAUUGCAACCAGCUGCAAAGUGAAUAAUAAAUAAAUUUCUCCUCAAUUUUGUUGGUUGUGAUGAUGUUCACUUGUGUUGAGCUUUUAUAGAACUGAAAAGUGGAGAAUGGGGAAAUUCCAAAGGUUAUUUAGUGGGAAAAGUUGUGUUAGCUCAACUUCCCACCUAUAAUACUCCCACAAUUGGCAUGACCAACUAUAGACUUCCUUACAAAUGUAACCUUAAAAAUCAAGCAUUUGAGAUAUCCUUUGGUUUAACUAAACAAGAGAAAAGGUUUAAAUAAUUGAUAUAUUUAAGAAUUAACCUUUUUACUCUUAAACUUCCUUUAUUUCAUAAAAAAUAUUUUUUAGAAAAAUUUUUUGUUAUAUUUUCUAGUAUUCAAGAAGACUCAGGAAAAUUAGUGAAUAUAAAAUACUUUCUUAGUAAAAAAAACAAUAAAAUCAUUUAAAGAAAAAUAAUUUCCUCUAGAAAAUUAUUUUCUUUAUUUUCAAAAUUUUACUAACAUUUCUAAAUAUAAAUUUUAUUAAUGUAUUUUCUUUUUAAAUUGAAAUUAAACAAUAAAAUAAUUUGUUAGAAAAUAUUUUUUUAAUGAAAAAAUCAUUAUAGAAGAUGUUUUAUAUGAAAAAUAUUUUUGCAGAGCAUAAACAGAGUCUUAGUAUUUGCGUUGCAUAAAUCGAAUAAAUUGAGAAUCGAAAUUGUAGUAUUUAUAAAAAUCGAACCAAUUGAUUUUGAUUAGAAAUUGAAUCGGUCUAAUUCAUUUCGAUUCGCUUCGAUUUGAUCGGUUUAAAUUUUUAAUAAAUUUUUUUUAUUUUUUAUAUUUUAUUUUUAGUAUUUUAAAAUUUAAUUGGAAUAUUUUAAUUUUAAUAUGAUCUAAACAGAGUCUUAGUAUUGGGUAUGAUCGUAUUCAACCUUAUUAAAUAUUUUAUAAUCCAAAAUACUUUCACACAAAAGAACAAAGAGAAUUACCAAACUUUAAAAUAAACGUUGUUGUUAAUUCAAAAAUUCAUAAUGUUUGUUAUAUUUGAUAUUAUGAAUUAGUGAAAUUAGACGAUGUUGAUGCUCUAAAAUUAAAAAAUUUAUACAUUUUAUUCUCAAAUCUAUUUUUUCAAAAUAAGCGUGAACCACCCAUUUAAUUAAAAUUAUAGAUUAAAUAAAAUAAAUAUGGUUUAAGAAGAAGUAUUUUUUUUUUAAAUAUUCAAGUGUUGUCGCCUUUGGGAAUGAGGUAAAUUUCAAUUAAUCAAACUCAUUUUCAAAAUAUACAUUUAUUAAAAAAAUUUUCAUCGUAUCGAAACAACUCUCAAAUUUCGUUAUUAUAGAGAGCAGUUAUUUUUUUACAACUAUUGAUAGUAUAAUAAAAAAAUAAAUUAUUUUUUAAAAAAAAAAAUUCAUCCAAAAACACUUUUAAAGAUCAACGCUCAUCAUUGAAUUCCACCAUUCAGAAUAAAAAAGGGUAGGAACCAGACUUGGAAUACCAUCUAAGUAAAGCUAAGAAUCAAAUACGUCCAAGUAUAUAAGUUAUAAUUAAACUGAGUUUAGUGAGCAAAGACUAGUCUAUUUGUGUUGGCAAUUGAACUGCAAUAUUUAACACUUUGAUAUUGUUAAUUUUUUAUUUAAUAAACUAUAAAUUCAAUGAUGCAGCUGAUAUGUUAAAUUAAAUAAUUUAAAUUGAAAUUAUUGUUUUAAUUUGUUAAGAUUUAAAUUAAGCUUUAUAUUUAUAAUUUUAUUUAGAUUGUUCACCUCAUAUAUAAUUAAUAAAUUUAUAGAACCAUUUAAUAUUGAUUACAUUUUUUUUUUUUGAAAUAGGGGUUGGGGGAGUCGAACCUUAGACCUUUCAAGGCUACAGGAUGCACUUUCCACCAGGCUAAGCCUUGGAGUGCUAUUGAUUACAUUUUUUGUUUUUCUUUUUUCUCAAAAACUAACAUGAAUUCAUCAUAAUUGUUUCUUCUUAAUUAGUCAAAUUAAAUAUUAAAUGAUUUCCUCACAAACGUAAAAAUCAACUAAAUGUUAGAAACUUUUAGCUUGUUUAGAAUCUGCUAAAUUAAUAUGAUUAUACAUCUUCUGAGCUACUGAAUUACAAUUCAGAUUUAUAUUAUGAUAUAUGAAGAACAGUAGGAGAUUUUGUUGGAACUUAAUUAGUUCAAACAAGUUAAUUUAGAUAUUAGAAUAAAAAGAAUUAAAAAAAUUAUAUAAAAACAAUUAAUUAAAAUAAAAAAAAAAUUCAACUUUAAGAUGGGAGGGAGUAGCAAUUCAAAGAAAUGUAAAGAGGAGAUGUGGUAUUGAAUUAGCAUCUACUGUACUUAGAAGAAAAAUGAAAUGAAAAAUCUAAUUUUGUCAAGACAUACACAUCACAUAUUGAAUUAGAUCUUAAUCGGUAGUCAAGACAAAAAACUAAAUAUUAAAAAGAAAAAAAAUACAAUACUUUUAUCUGUUUUUCACUUUGGAUAUUUGUUUACAAACAACAUGAUAUUAUAGUACUAUUUAGAUAUAAAAUUAAAUGAAAUUAAAUCACAAACGACGUAAUUCAAAAACCUUGAAAUGAAACACUAAUACAAUCACAAGUUACAUUUUUAUAUUUUUUUUAAAGUGAAAUACUGGUACAAUCACAAGUAAUAUUUUUUAUUAAAAUUAAUAGAAAUAUAUUAAGUUUGAACUGCUUAUACAACUUAUAGGAUUAUCUCCCUAUGGAGCUCUCAAUUAUUCUAAGCUCUUACAUUCUUUUGAAUAAAAAAAUGAAUAUUAUACAACAAUAACAACAAUUAUAAGAUUUAUAAGAAUUUGUUGAUGCUACUAUAUUUAUACACAUACACAGUGCAUUCAUAAAUUAUAAUGGAAAGCAAAAGUUUUAAAUUAGAAAUUAUAAAUACAAAAUAAUUUAUCAUAAUUUUAUAAAAUAUUAAUUAAAAAAAUAUAUAGUCCUAUGAAUGUCAUAGUAAUUAUAAAAAUUUAGAUGAGUUCAAAAUAUAAUAUAAAAAUAAAUUUUAAAAUAUAUAAUACCACAUAUACCAAUUAUGAUUAUGAGGGUGAAUAAAUAAUUACGUAAUUUUGGUUUCACUUCUUAAAAAAUUUCAAUUAAUUACGAAAUAACAAUAUAAAUUUAAGAGAAAAUUAUUUUUUAGUCUCUGAGGUAUACCGUAAUUAACGAAUUCACCCCUCUAUUUUUAGAACCCAACACUUUCGUCCCUGAGAUUUAAUUCAAUAAAAAUUAGAAGUCCCUCCGUUAGUGACAGAAAAAAAUGACCGAACUACUCUUUCUUGAACCCAACACUUUUGUCCCUGAAAUUUAAUUCCUACAAGUUUAUAGGUCCAUCUCUCAAAGAAUUGAAGGAAAAAAUAUAUUUUCGUCCCUAAGAUAUUACAUAAUUAACAGAUUUAUCUCUCUAUUUUUUAAAUUCAACACUUUAGUCCUUGAAGUUUAAUUUCGUUAAAAUUGAAGGAAGAAAAUCUGAAACUCAAUCCCCAUAAACAAAUAAAAAUUUCAAUAAAUUUAAGAUUCAAAUUCAUUAAAUAUAAUCAAAAUCAAAAUAUAUAAAAAUUAAAUUAUUAAAAAUAAAAAGUUAAAACUCAAUAGAAAUUGCUUUUUUUGUGCUGUUCGCUGUCGAUCAUUGUUCGCCAUUUAAAAAAUUCAUUAAAAUGUCUAUGAUAUUUUAAAAAGUCUACUAGUUAAUAUUUCCAUUAAUUUUAGUCGUUAAGUAUUAUAAAAAAAUAUCAAAUACCUCCGAUAUAGAUGGACUAAUUAGUAAAUUUUUUAUUAAUUUGAGGGACCAACUAAUAAUUUUUUCUAAACUAUAGGGACUAAAUAGUAAAAUAUUUGGUAAUAAAAUUAAUAAAGAAACUAACUAGUAGAAUUUUUAAAAUGUUAGGGACAUUUUAAUAUACUUUUCAAAAUUGAGGGACCAAGUAGCGAGUUUUUUCAUACUAUAGGGUCUAAAUAGUGAUUUUUUCAUUUUAUUAUUGAUAAGGAUAUUUUUGGGAUUAUAUUUAUUCUCUUUCCUUUGAUUAAGUGGAAAUUAUUGACUUAACAAAAAUUUUUUCCAGAGACCUUGAAUUUGACGGAAUUAAAUCUCAAGACGAAAGUGUUGGAUUCUAAAAAAACAGGGACAAAGUAGUUAAUUAUGUUAUACCUCAGGGACUAAAAAGUAAUUUUUCCUCACUUUAAAUAUGUUUGAUUUAGAAAAAAAAAUAAAUUUUGAUGAGCACUGUAAAAAUAAGUUUUAUAAUAGUAUAACUUGUUUCAAGGUUUCUUUAAGAUAGACAUUAAGAUUCAUUUACUUAUUUGGAAGUCCAACAAUUAACUUUCUUCUUUUAACUUAAUUCUCGCUGAAUGAAACGAUUACAUAUGAGAAUAUUGUAAAUAUCAAAAUUUUAUUUAUUUGAAAAUCUAGUAAUUAAAUCUUUCUUUAACUUAUUUCUCGCCGCAUACAACGAUUGCAUGCAAGAAUCUUGAAAAUAUCUACUUUUUCUUUUUUUUCUCGGCUUCUUUUCCGCUAGGAGCGGAGGCUUCUUUACCGCUGGGAGCAGAGGCUUCUCCACCGGGACCAGGAGCAGAGGCCUCUCCACCGGGAGCAGAGGCCUCUUCUUUCUCUUUCUCUUGAGCAUUUGAAACAGAAAAUAAGGAAAAUAUAAUCAAUAGUGAAAUACAACAUACGAAAAGCCCAAAUUUCUUCAUCUUGUAAACUCAACUAUGGAUUUUACUUUUUUUCUUUUUGUUUUAUGUGUAUGAAUAAACAUACCGAACUUUGAACCUUUUAUACUUCUCUUGAUGUUAAGAUUUGGAAGUUAAAUUCCAUGAUUUAAGGAGGCUCAAUGAGCUAAACUAAGGAGAAAAUCCUACUUAUUUAUUUUUCAUAUGACUCGGUACUUAUUUUUAAAAUCUUAACUAAAAUUAUCAACAAUGCGUAAUUCUAAAAUACCUAGAGAUUCACCCUUCAAUGUAGUAUUCUUUUUUUUUUUUUUUAAACUCAUAUGUGCUCUUUAUAAUCCAUAUUUCUUAAUGAUAUAAAUAAUGUUCCUAUUAUAAAAAUUUAAGUGGUUCAUAAUAAUUUUUUGAGAAGAGUUGAUAUGAAAAUUAUAGCUCAUUAUACACCAAACAAUUAAAUUAUGAAUAAUAUUUGAGUGUCAUUUGUCUAACACAAUAAUAUUGUUAACGCUCAACAAAUUAUUCAUCAAACUCAUUUUUAAAAUAUACAUUCAAUAAAAUAUCAAUAAAAUUAUUCAUUGGUAUCGGAACAACUCUCAAAUUUCACUAUUAUAGAGAGCAGUUAUUUUUUUGUAACUAUUGAUUGUAUAAUAAAAAAAUAAUUUUAUUUUUUUAAAUUUCAUCCAAAAACACUUUUAAAGAUCAACACUCAUCAUUGAAUUCCACCAUUCAGAAUAAAAAAAGGUAGGAACCAGACUAGGAAUACCAUCUAAGUAAAGCUAGGAAUCAAAUACGUCCAAGUAUAUCAGUUAUAAUUAAAUUGAGUUUAAUGAGCAAAGACUAGUCUAUUUGUGUUGGCAAUUGAACCGCAACAUUUAACACUUUGAUAUUGUUGAUUUUUUAUUUAAUAAAUUAUAAAUUCAACGAUGAUGUAGCUGAUAUGUUAAAUUAAAUAAUUUAAAUUUAAAUUAUUGUUUUAAUUUGUUAAGAUUUAAAUUAAGCUUUAUAUUUAUAAUUUUAUUUAGAUUAUUCACCUCAUAUAUAAUUAAUAAAUUUAUAGAACCGUUUAAUAUUGAUUACAUUUUUUGUUUUUCUUUUUUCUCAAAAAUUAACAUGAAUUCGUCAUAAUUGUUUGUUUUUAAUUAGUCAAAUUAAAUAUUAAAUGAAUUCCUCACAAACAUAAAAAUCAUUAAAGCAUUUGUAAAUUAGAAUUUACAGUUUUAGCUUGUUUAGAAUCUGCUAAAUUAAUAUGAUUAGACAUCUUCUGAGCAAUUGAAUUACAAUUCAGAUUUAUAUUAUGAUAUGUGAAGAAUAGUACGAGAUUUUGUUGGAACUUAAUUAGUUCAAACAAAUUAAUUUAGAUAAAUAGUAAAUUUAUCUAAAUGGAAUGUGAAGCCUAAUCUAAUUUUAUAUAAGCCAAGUUUAAGCAAGAAAAAAAAUUAUGUAGAAUAAAAAAGAAUUAAAAAAAUUAUAUAAAAACAAUUAGUUAAAAUAAAAAAAAAAAUCAACUUUAAGAUGGGAGGGAGUAGCAAUUCAAAGAAAUGUAAAGAGGAGAUGUGGUAUUGAAUUAGCAUCUGUUGUACUUCAAAGAAAAAUCAAAUGAAAAAUCUAAUUUUGUCAAGACAUGCACAUCUCAUAUUGAAUUAGAUCUUAAUCAGUAGUCAAGACACAAACGACGUAAUUCAAAACACUAAUACAAUCACAAGUUACAUUUUUAUAAUUUUUUUAUUAAAAUUAAUAGAAAUAUAUUAAGUUUGAAUUGCUUAUACGACUUAUAGGAUUAUCUCCUUAUGGAGCUCUCAAUUAUACUCAGCUCUUACAUUCUUUUGAAUAAAAAAAAUGAACAUUAUACAUUAAUAAAAAUAAUUAUAAGAGUUUGUUGAUGCUACUAUAUUUAUACACAUACACAUUACAUUCAUAAAUUAUAAUGAAAAGCAAAAGUUUUAAAUUAGAAAUUAUAAAUACAAAAUAAUUUAUCAUAAUUUUAUAAAAUAUUAAUUAAAAAAAUAUAUAGUCCUAUGAAUGUCAUAAUAAUUAUAAAAAUUUAGAUGAGUUCAAAAUAUAAUAUAAAAAUAAAUUUUAAAAUAUAUAAUACCACAUAUACCAAUUAUGAUUAUGAGGGUGAAUAAAUAAUUACGUAAUUUUGGUUUCACUUCUUAUAAAAUUUCAAUUAAUUACGAAAUAACAAUAUAAAUUUAAGAGAAAAUUAUUUUUUAGUCUUUGAGGUAUGCCGUAAUUAACGAAUUCGCCCCUCUAUUUUUAGAACCCAACACUUUCGUCUCUGAGAUUUAAUUUAAUAAAAAUUAGAAGUCCCUCUGUUAGUGACAGAAAAAAUGACCGAACUACUCUUUCUUGAACCCAACACUUUCAUCCCUGAAAUUUAAUUCCUACAAGUUUAUAGGUCCAUCUCUCAAAGAAUUGAAGGAAAAAAUAUGUUUUCGUCCCUAAGAUAUUACAUAAUUAACAUAUUUAUCUCUCUAUUUUUAAAAUUCAAUACUUUAGUUCUUGAAGUUUAAUUUCGUUAAAAUUGAAGGAAGAAAAUUUGAAACUCAAUCCCCAUAAACAAAUAAAAAUUUCAAUAAAUUUAAGAUUCAAAUUCAGUAAAUAUAAUAAAAACAAAAAUAUAUAAAAAUUAAAUUAUUAAAAAUAAAAAGUUAAAACUCAAUAGAAAUUGCUUUUUUUGUGCUGUUCGCUGUCGAUCAUUGUUCGCCAUUUAAAAAAUUUAUUAAAAUGUCUCUGACAUUUUAAAAAGUCUACUAGUUAAUAUUUCCAUUGAUUUUAGUCGUUAAGUAUUAUAAAAAAAAAUCUCAAAUACCUCUGAUAUAGAUGGACUAGUUAGUAAAUUUUUUAUUAAUUUGAGGGACCAACAAAUAAUUUUUUCUAAACUAUAGGGACUAAAUAGUAAAAUAUUUGGUGAUAAAAUUAAUAGAGAAACUAACUAGUAAUUUUUUCAUUUUAUUAUUGAUAAGGAUAUUUUUGGGAUUAUAUUUAUUCUCUUUCCUUUGAUUAAGUGGAAAUUAUUGACUUAACAUAAAUUUUUUACAGAGACCUUGAAUUUUGACGGAAUUAAACCUCAAAGGACGAAAGUGUUGGAUUCUAAAAACAAGAGAGACAAAUCCAUUAAUUAUGCUAUACCUCAGGGACUAAAAAGUAAUUUUUCUCAAUUUAAAUAUGUUUGAUUUAAAAAAUAAAUAAAUUUUGAUGAGCACUGUAAAAAUAAGUUUUAUAACAGUAUAACUUAUUUCAAGGUUUCUUUAAGAUAGAUAUUAAGAUUCAUUUACUUAUUUGAAAGUCCAACAAUUAACUUUAUUCUUUAACUUAAUUCUUGCUGAAUAAAACAGUUACAUAUAAAAAUAUUAUAAAUAUCAAAAUUUUAUUUAUUUAAAAAUCUAGUAAUUAAAUUUUUCUUUAACUUAUUUCUCGCUGCAUAAACUGAAUAAUUUGAAAAUUGAAAUUUUAGUAUUUAUAAAAAUCGAACUUAAUUGAUUUUGAUCAAAAAUUGAAUAGGUUUGAUUCGUUUCGAUUCGGUUUGAUUUGAUCGGUUUGAAUUUUUAAUAAAUUUUUUUUACUUUUUAUACUUUAUUUUUAAUAUUUAAAAUUUAAUUGAAAUAUUUUAAUUCUAAUAUGAUCUAGUCUCUAUAUUAUUGAAAAUAAUAUAUUAUUAUUACUAAUCGGUAUGAUUCGAUUUUUUUAUUUUUUUUUUUCUGAUCAAAAUCGAACUGAACUAAAAUAACCGAAAUUUUUAAAAUUAAAAACUAAACCAAACUAAAAUAAAUAAAAAAUUAAACUAAAAUUUCAAAUUAAUUUGAUUUGAUCGUUUUUUCAGUUUAAAUCAAACAACGUUAAUUCCAGACGUAUAUAUUAAAACUUAAAAAGACUAUAGAUUGAUAAUUGGAAAACGACAUGCUGUUUGCCUUUGCGGUCCAUGAUAUAAUUGAAUCUAUGAAAAUGGCAAGAGCAUUAAUGAUUCAGAGGAAAAACAAGACAACAAACAAAAGUAAACAGUACAAAAUACAAGUACUUGACGCUAUAAACAGAACCACAUGGACGUAGAAACAAUCUGAACAACAAAAACUACACGAAUCAACAAUUCAACAAUAGACCUCGACCCAUGAUGCAAUGCAACCAUGGACACAAGAAGCUGCUGUGGAAAGCUUUUAAGGAUUCGUAGUUGACUGAGGUGACUUCACAUCCUUGGGAAGAGUCGAUUGUUGGCAAUAUGGGCUUUGGCAGCUCAGGCAGGUGAGGAAAAGUUGGCAGUUCAGGCAACUCUGGCACUUCCGGCUUUGGAAGCUCAGGCAGUUCAAGUUUAGGCAAGGUUGGGAAUUUUGGAAGCUCAACUAUAAAUGAUUUUACAAAAUUCAUUUAAAUUAUUUUUUUAUAAAAUUAUUUAUAUGAAACGAGAGGAUUUAAAUAAUAUUUAGUGAGUGUAAUUAUCAUAGUGAUUUUUCUUAUAUUUCAUUUACUUUUUUUUGGAAUGAUUAUUUAAAAGGAAAUUUAAAUAAAUUAUUUUGUAUGAUUUUAAUAUUUUUUAAAAUAAAGUUUUUUACUAUUAAAAAAAUUACAUUCUUUCAUUUUAAUAAGAAAUUGAUAAAAAAAACUAUUGAAUUAAAUUUUUAUAAAAUUUUUUAUUUCAAAUGAAAGGUUUCUGUAUUUAAUUUAUAGUUAGUAAUAAAAUUUUUAUAUGUUAAAAUAACAAUCUGAUGUGAGAUUAUUUAAAAUAAAAUAAGAUAAGAUAACAAAAACUAAUUAUUAAUAUAAAUUAAAUGUGUUUUUAUAUAUAUUUUUCAUAAUGGUAAGUAGACUAAUGCUGCUGGAUAGCUUGUCUUUUUUUUUUUUUUUUGGUUUUCCAUGUGCAGAGGCGUACCCUUAUUAGGGCUAAUUUUGACAUUUAGGCUACUUAAAAAGUUUCUACUUUACUUUUAUAUCAUAAUAUUAGAAAUUUAUUUUAUUUAAUUACAAUUUUUAUUAAAUUGGUUGUUCCUGAGUUUUUGAAAAAUUAGAUUUGAAAAAGAAAAUAGAUAAUUUCUUUUAAAAAUUUUAGGCCAUCAAUAAUUUUUAAGUUCAGUAAUUCUCUUUGUGGCUAUGAACUAUUUAAUAAGAUUGAUCACAGUCAUAGCGAAAACCAAAUAAAUAAGCUGGAUCAAUUUUGUAUAUAGAAUAUAAACUUACAACCUACAUCACACAAUAGCUGAAACAGAAAUAUUAUAGGACUAAGAACACAUAAAUGAUACUGAUCAAUGCAAAAGGUGAAGUCAUCACAGCGAGAUCAAAGGUUGAAACGCUUGUGGUAUAAUUGCUUAAGGAUUGGUAGCUGAUUCAGGUUUGGUGUCUUUGGAAGGGAAUGUGGACUUUGGUAACUCAGGCAAGUGGGGAAAAGUUGGCAGUUCAGGUUUUGGCAACUCAGGCAAGUGGGGAAAAGCUGGCAGUUCAGGCUUUGGAAACUCAGGCAAUUCAGGUUUUGGCAGCGUGGGAAUUUCAGGCUUCGACAACUCAGGCAAUUCAGGUAAUUUUGGCAGAGUGGGAAGUUCAGGUUUAGGAAAGGUUGGGACUUCAGGUAAUGGUGGAAGCUCAACCUUAGGAAGUAAUGGCAAGUCAGGCAAUUCAGGCUUAGGAAGCUCCGGGACCUCAGGUAAUGUUGUCUCUAGAAGCUGUCGUGCUUCUGCAGAGAUUGACAGAGCAACGAGUGAGAGCAGAACAAUGAGUGAAGGGGAGCGAAGAUUGGCCAUAACUAUGCAACAAGAUCAAUCAGCUGUAAAUACAAUUUAUCCUCACUUUUGUUUUGUGUGUGUUGAUGUUCACUUGUGUUGAGCUUUUAUAGAAGUGGGAAGUGAAGAAUGGGGAACUUCCAAAGGUGAUUUAGUGGGAAAAGUUGUGUUAGCUCAACUUCCCACCCAUAAGACUCCCACUGUUGGCAUGACCAACUAUAGACUUCCUUACAAGUGUAACCUUGCUAUCUUUCUAUAUGGAGUCCAGAGAUUGGUUAGAUUGAUAAUAAGCUAAAAUAUGGUUCUCACUUGUAAUCAUUCUCAGAAAUCAGAACACUUGUGAAGUUCAAGCUUUUUCACCUAUUUAAUAAUUCACUUCUUUCCUGUUCUACCUACAAAAGAUGAGAUUCUGAAGAAUGGUUCUUCUUUAGUUACUUUAAAAUAAUGUUCAACGAAGAUAGCCUCAUCUGCAAAGUUGGCCAACCUACACACUAAACUUUGACAUGUCUUUCUUUUUAUUGAAGCUCUGACUGAUCUUCACAUCACAUCCAAUUAUCCACAAGGUACUCUUCUAUUUGAAAUUAAGAAUUUUAUUAAAAAUUAAUUCAAUUGAUUUCUUUUAUAUCAAUCUCUUGGUUGGAAUGAGAUUCAAUUUUUUUGACUUAUAAAAUUUUCAUAUUAAAAAAAUUGAAACCAUGUGUAUUCUUGUAAGAAUUUAUUUAUAUUCUUUUUUUUUUCAAACUGAAUCAUUGCAAACAAAAGGACUAUAUAAGGUAGUAUAUAUGAUUCUCAGUUGUAAUUAUAACAGUUCAAAAUAUGUCUAAUCACAUUAGUUUCGGUAGAUCUUCAACAAACUGAAAAUUACUAAUGUUUACAACGGAAUCUGUCUCAGCAAUAUGUAAUCUCCAUAUGCUUUUUUAGUUUUCAGAAACCUUGUAAUUUUUACAGAAUAAAGGAAUUUUACCAUUACGGGUGUAACAUCUAGUUAAACUCCGAUGUCGGAAUCUCAACGUUCUGACGGAAUCUCCGUCGAGAUCCAGAAUCUCGAAGCUAAAAUUUUUAGAAGGAUAAAAUAGAGUUUUCAUAAAAUGAAUUAAAAAUUUUUCUUGGUGUGUUUUAAAAAAAAAUAAAAAAUUUAGAGGAGUUUUAAAGUUCGGCCGCCGAAGACGGCUCUUCCAGCCACUUAUAAAAGGCCUUCAACCCAAAAAUAUGAGAACUCUUUCUCUAUUUUCGAGCAGAGGUAAGUCCAUGCCCUUUUCCAGACAUUCUUGCUAAAAUUACUUCAAAUCUCUUGGAGAAUACAUGAGUUUUUACUUCAUUUUUUAAGAUUUGAGUUUGGAUUUCAAGCUUUAAACUUUGGAGACCUCCGAAAAUCGAUUUCCCAAUUCUCCAAAUCUUGGUUGUUGUGUUUUCUAUGUUUUUCAAGAGGUAAGUUCAAUCUUUGCUUUUCUUAUGCUUUUUGAAGGUUUUAAACCGAUAUUAUAAGUUGUUAGGACAUGCAUGAUUGAUUAUUCUAAAGUUUUAAAGUUUGAGUUAGUUUUGAUGAUGGAUGAUUUUCUCCUGGGAUUUUGUUGAUGCAUGUUGAGUUUAGAACAGUUUUUGAGGUCUCUUAUGCGUGUUAAGUGUGUAUGGUAGUCUUUAGCCUGUUGCAUGUAAGUUUGGGUUUGUUUAUUGGCUAUGAGCAUAGGGCAAAAUCAGGUUCUGCCUUACUGGAGAUCCUAGGUUCAGCCGCUGAAGCAAGGUUCGGCCACCAAAUCUGUCUGUAGAGGCAGCCAUUUGGCCACCUAACCUGCCGCUGAAAGUCCUCUGUUCAGCCUUUUUCAGCUUGUUUCCUACGUGUGUUCUUGUAUGUUCUUAGGGGUUUUCUUGAGGGUAGUUUAAGUAUUGUAAUAGUUAUGUUUGGUUCCUCAUUUAAAUCCAUCUAUGUAGGAUCGGACUUUGGAGACUGUAGAGGCUUGCAGUGAGAUAACUGCUUCAGUACUAGGCGUGCAUCAGUCAAAGGUGAGUAGAACUGAACUGAUAUAUUAUUUUAAAGAAAUCAAACUUUUUAAGCAUACUCAUACAUCACGAAUGUCAUGUAUAUACGAUUAGGUUGUUUUGCAUUAGAGUUCACGAAUAUAAUACAUUGCAUAAAUUAUUGUUGUUGUGGAUGGACGUUGGAUGACCCACUAGCCCUCGAGUAUGUUAUGAUAUGUUAUGAUGGAUAUGGAAAGACUAGGGUUGCCUAUUCUACGCCUCUGGCACUAUGUAAGGGAAAGACCAGGGCUGCCCAUUCUAUGCCCCUUGCACUAUGGAUAUGUUAUGUUAUAUUUAAGAGGAAAACCUGAGGAGCACUCGUCGUGGGCCGAGCACUAUUGAAAUCUGUAGAGGGUUACUGAUGACAAGUCCAUUUUGAUGUAAAUUGUUUGUGCUGUGAUGCAUUCAUACAAUCAUAUAUUUUAUUGAACUGUUUUUUUAUGUUCUGCUCACUAGACUCUUAUAGUUUAUCCCCUUUCCCCUAAUCCCAGGUUUGCAGGAUCAAAGUUAGCUCGGGAAGUCGGCUGAGUUGCUGGUAUAGCCUAUUGUAAUAGUAUAGCUAUGGAAAUAUAUUCAUUUGUGGAUUAGAAUUGUGCUUUGCCCGGGUUCUUCCUUGUAAUCCUUGUUUCAUGAUCAUUUUAUAUAAAAGUUUUUAAGUAUAAGUUUAUGUUUAAAUCGAGCUUGAGGCAUGUUAUGUCACACCCAUUCUCAAAACUGUGGAGAUGGAUAUGACCCGAAAAACUGACAGAACUUCCCCUGUUGUUAAUACAUAUAACUCAUAUGACCUGCUAUAAUUUCAAAAUAUAAAACAUAUAAGAGAUGAUUGAUAGCUAGACUGGUCAAUACAUAAUAUAUUUACAAUAAACAAAACACGUUCAUCAUUUGAAUUUACAAUCUAUACAUAAUCUGUCAAAAUUACAAAAAGAAAAGACAAGACCUAGGAUUGGUCCGACCUCCUCUAGACUCUGAGUGGACGAUGUGGAAGGAAUAACAAACUAGGAGAUGAGGACUGCUGAGCGGAUCACCAAAAAAAAACUGAAUAUUAAAAGAAAUAAGAGUGAGUACAACAUAUUCAGUGAGUGGAUAAAUAAAUAACAAAGGGGAAAAGAUAAGUUUAGGUAAUUAAUAGUACCAAAUAUUUAGCUAAAAUAAGUCAGCUGAAUAAAUACAAUUUAAUUCCUAGGCCUGGGCCUUAUAUGUUAUGUUGACCAUACCGAAGCAUUUGAUGAGGGCUCUAGUAUAGGUUUUAUGUUUUCAGUUACGAUGCAUGCACAAGUCGAGUCUUGGUUCAUGUAAUAAUUAUAUUUUUGUUGUUUGUAUGAUCAUGCAUGGAAUUAUAUCAUAUGUAAUAGGAUGUAUAGUAUGCUUGCUGUGGGCUCCAGUGACCUUAAGUCGAUUUGAACCCUAGCACCGGUAGUGGUCUGGUUCCCGGGUCGUUACAGAGUGGUAUCAAAGCCCUAGAUUCAUAUGACUGGGCCUAGAGUGUUGGGCUCAUAGAUGUUAUAGAGGGCAAAUACAAUUAGGAAAUAUUAUAUCCACUAGGAUAGAAUGUAGAGUCUUGUCAUGAUAUAUGUGAUAACCUCCAGAUCUUUCCUAGCCCAGGAAUAAGGUCGGGUCCAAAAGAAGGCACAGGUCCAAAGCCCAUCAGAUCAUACGCUCGAGAGGCGGCUCGACUUCACGAGCCUGGGCCGGCAACCCAGGAUGAUCCGGAUCAGAUAUGAGCACAAGCCCCAUAAGGGAGUAGGCCCAAUCACUCACCAGCUCUACCCGCAUGCUCUCUGGAGAGCAUUAAAUGGCCGUUACGCAUGGAGCAGGUGCCUGACACGCCCGUAUGUACGGGCCUGAGUGACAAGGACAGGAAGCACUAUAUAUCGGGGGGUCUCCUCUUGCAAGGGGGAUCUUCUUCUUUUUCUUCUCCUGCCUGGACUCCAUUUUUAUUUUCUCUGCAACUCUUGCCUAGAUAUACUACUCUUAUUCAUGAAACCUGACUUGAACGUCGGAGGGUCUCCGCUGGGGCAUCCCGGUGGACCCUUGACCAUUUUUCCUUAUUUUGCAGGUCCCUUUCUCAGAUAGAACAUGGAGAGACCCAUUUGACAGAUUCGUCUGGGAGCCCAAGAAGGAAUCAGAUCCACAUAAGAGGGGGCGAGGGAGGACCAGAUCUAACAAAUAUGGAGCCCAGGGAGAUUUAAAGUUAUCAAUAUGUAUAAUGAUGUAUAAUGUCAUGACUAUAUACAUGUGCAUUGAUGAUAUGAUAGGUAUGAUGUGGGUUCAUGUGUAUCCACAUGAACCAUAUGAUGCUAAUGCCUAUAUGUUUAAAUGAUUUUUCAGAAGACAGAAUGCAUGGCUUAUGUCGAUCUGUACGAUUGACUAGAGUCCCAUCCGAAAAAUGAGGGUAUAGACGCCCUUCCUCCUGCUGCUCCGUCAAGAGUGCGGUCAAGUAGAAAUAACAAGAAUGAAAAGUCAAGAGACCCUAUAAUGUCUUUUAAUAUAAACAAAAAGAGAACAGAUCCGAGUAGGAUGUUUGCAGAUGCCAGAAAAACAGUAGGAAAUGAUUAGAGGAGAGAUAGAAGUUUGGGUAUGAGUUUUGAAGUAGAGGGUGUGGGAGAGUCUGAAAGAGGAACAGAAGGCGUCAGACCAUAGGAUCCGCCUAUCCACCUCAGUACCAACCCUAUGCACAGGAACUCGGGUAUCCGAUGGAAAGUACAACAGAUUACUCUAGCUACCACCCAUACCCCUCAUUCAUACCCUAUCCUCCUUGCUAUUCAUUAUAUCCACCCUACCCUAUCUUAUGUUUUCGCCUCCUCCCCAUUACUAGAAUUUGGCAAACUCUAACUCAGGAAAUGUUGCACCACCUCCUCCUCCAGCAAAACCAGCUAGAAAAAAGUUUUUAUACCCAGAUAGAAAAAAGUUUUUUCUUCAAACUAUAUCAUUCAUUUUAUUUUAUUUACAAUUUUAAUUAAAUCAGUUUUUGAUAAUUUUUCAAAAAAUUAAAUUUGAAAUAAAACAGAUAUUUUUUUUAAAAAUUUUAGGACAUUAAUAAUUUUUAACUUUGAUUAGCAAUUUAUAAUAUUAAACAUUAUACUUUUUAAUUAACAACAAUUCCAUUUAAUUUUCUAAGUUCAGUAAUUCUCUUUAUGGCCCUGAACUAUUUAAUAAGAUUGAUGAGGGUCAUAGCAAAAACCAAAUAAAUAAACUGGAUCAAUUUUGUAUAUAGAAUAUAAACAUACAACGUACAUCAUACAAAAGCUGAAACAAAAAUAUUAUAGGACUAAAACUCACUUCAAAUUUAAGCAUGCAUAUAUAUAACAUAUGAAUCAGACACUUAAGAACACAUAAAUGAUACUGAUCAAUGCAAAAGCUGAAGUCAUCACAGCGAGAUCAAACGUUGAAACCCUUGUGGUAUAAUUGCUUAAGGAUUGGUAGCUGAUUCAGGUUUGGUGUCUUUGGAAGGGAAUGUGGACUUUGGUAACUCAGGCAAGUGGGGAAAAGUUGGCAGUUCAGGUUUUGGCAACUCAGGCAAGUGGGGAAAAGCUGGCAGUUCAGGCUUUGGAAACUCAGGCAAUUCAGGUUUUGGCAGCGUGGGAAUUUCAGGCUUCGACAACUCAGGCAAUUCAGGUAAUUUUGGCAGAGUGGGAAGUUCAGGUUUAGGAAAGGUUGGGACUUCAGGUAAUGGUGGAAGCUCAACCUUAGGAAGUAAUGGCAAGUCAGGUAAUUCAGGCUUGGGAAGCUCCGGGACCUCAGGUAAUGUUGUCUCUAGAAGCUGCCGUGCUUCUGCAGAGAUUGACAGAGCAACGAGUGAGAGCAGAACAAUGAGUGAAGGGGAGCGAAGAUUGGCCAUAAUUAUGCAACAAGAUCAAUCAGCUGUAAAUAAAAUUUAUCCUCACUUUGUUUUGUGUGUGUUGAUGUUCACUUGUGUUGAGCUUUUAUAGAAGUGGGAAGUGAAGAAUGGGGAACUUACAAAGGUGAUUUAGUGGGAAAAGUUGUGUUAGCUCAACUUCCCACCCAUAAGACUCCCACUGUUGGCAUGACCAACUAUAGACUUCCUUACAAAUGUAACCUUGCUAUCUUUCUAUAUGGAGUCCAGAGAUUGGUUAGAUUGAUAAUAAGCUAAGAUAUGGUUCUCACUUGUAAUCAUUCUCAGAAAUCAGAACACUUGUGAAGUUCAAGAUUUUUCACCUAUUUAAUAAUUCACCUCUUUCUUGUUCUACCUACAAAAGAUGAGAAUCUGAAGAAUGGUUCUUCUUUAGUUACUUUAAAAUAAUGUUCAAUGAAGAUAGCCUCAUCUUCAAAGUUGGCCAACCUACACACUAAACUUUGACAUGUCUUUCUUUUCGUUGAAGCUCUGACUGAUCUUCACAUCCAAUUAUUCAAGUUAAUCUUCUAUUUGAAAUUAAGAAUUUUACUAAAAAUUAAUCCAAUUGAUUUCUUUUAUAUAGAUCUCUUGGUUGGAAUGAUAUUCAAUUUUUUUUUAACUUAUAAAAUUUUUAUAUUAAAAAAAUUAAAACUAUGUGUAAUCUUGUUAGAAUUUAUUUGUAUUAUUUUCUUUCAAACUGAAUCAUUGCAAACACAAGGACUAUAUGAGAGAGUAUAUAUAAAUCUCAGUUGUAAUUAUAACAGUUUAGAAUAUGUCUAAUCACAUUAGUUUUGGUAUAUCUUGAACAAACCGAAAAUUACUAAUGUUUAUAACGGAAUCUGUCUCAACAACAUCUAAUCUCGAUAUGCUUUUCCAAUUAAUCUCGAUAUGCUUUUCCAAUUUUCAGAAGCCUUAUAACUUUUACAGAAUAAAAGAAUUUUACCACGGAGAGUUCAUUUAAUCUUUGAUUUGAUUUGAGUAAAAAUAAAUAAAUUGAAUUAAAUCAAACCAAAUUUUGAAGAGUUCAAACUUAUUUUUUAAAUUUUUUUUAAGUUUGAGUUUCAUUUUGAACUUGAGCCAAGUAUUAAUAAGCUUAAAUUUGGCUCAUUUAGCAAACGAAUUUAGAUAAAUCGAAUUUUUAUCGAGUUUAGUUUUGAAUAAUUUACGAAAAGUUCAAUUUAUUUACAUAUAUAUAUAUAAUAAGAUUUAGUUGAAAACUAAUACGUUUAAAACUAAAUAAUUUUAGUUAAAUAAGUAUAUAUAUAAAUUAGCUUUUAAAAUUAUAAAGGAUGAGUUUUUAAAUUUUAAUGAUUCAAAUAUCUAUAAAUUUUAAAAGUAUAAUUAAACUAUGCAAGUUGAACUUUAAAAAACUUAGAUCUGAUUCAUGAAAAUAUAUACAAAGUAUAAUUUAGUUCUCUUAUAAUAUUACUUUCCGUAUGCUUAUUUGAGACCGUUUAUAAGUUUGUUCGCGAGCUUGCUCAUAAAUUCGAAAAUGAGCUGAAUUCGUGAGUCUUAAAGAGUCUAAUACAAAUGAAUCUGAAAAUUAAGUUCAAUCUUGAUUCAUUUAGAAAUCAAGUUGAGUUUGAUUGAACUUUUUAUCGAAUUGAACUUUCAAUAAUUCACGGACAAUUUAAUCCAUUUACACCACUAAUAGUUAUUUAGGGUCAGAUAUAAUUGCGCUCUAUAAUAGUAGAACUAAAGAGUUGGUUCUAUUAAUUACCACAGAGCCAAUCUAUUAUUGGUCGUUGAUAGAUGCGCAUUGUGGGAGUAACCCUAAUGGAAAAAUUAAUUGAUUGAAAGCUUACUUUGUAGUCAAUAAAUUACCACUAAAAUAUGAGCUUGAUUACAAUAAUAUUUUGACUCAAAUGGCUAAAAUUUUAUCAAUUCGUCUUCUUGUCUCCUUAACAACAUCCACAUCAUUGGCCUCUUUAUUGAAUAGAUAAAAAAAAUUACUUUUUAUACGAAGAACUUAUAAAGAAAGUUCUUAUAAAGCAAUCAUCAGACCAUCAGAGUUUGUUGCUGAGAGGAUCAGGCAUGGUAUGCCAUUUAUGACAAAUACCACACGGGUUAAAAGUAGCCUGUAAGGAUGUUGUUUGGAUAGUUUAGUAAUGGGAUCCAACAGAUUAGGAUGUGUAGGAGUGAAGCCUAAUGUGCCCCUUAUAUGGGUCAUAGGCAAUCCUCCCCCUUGAGCUAGCUUUUGGGGUGAGUUAGGCCUGGCCCAAAUUUAACUUGGUAUCAAAGCCUCCCCAUCCGAUGUUGGGCCUCCCAUAAAUGUGUCACGCACCAGUAAAAUUCUGGGCGUGAGGGGGGUAUGUUGAAUCCCACAUCGGUUGUGGAAAGGGGUAAUGUGCCCCUUAUAUGGGUCAUAUAUAUAUAUAUCAUUAAAUAAAGCAUAAUUCUUGUAUAGAUUGAGUCUAUACGGACAUGUAGUAUAAAUUAUAUGUGAUUUGUUAUAGCUGUCACUACUAUUUUAUAUUACAGUCUGAUGACUGCUGGAUUUCUUCACCCCGACCUAAAGGCCAGGCCCCUGAAAACAGUCCAUAAUCCGAAGGCUUCAAUAUUCCCCUCGAGAGCCAGGUCUAGCCCGCUCAGUCACAGGGCCGGACUCUGCCUAGACUCCUCAAUCAAGCCGGCCCAAACCUCUCGGCCCAAUAAUCAGGCCCUCACCAGGCUCAACUUCAGCCCUACCAUUCAACCCAGCCCAGAAAGAGGAAAAUGACUAACCUGCCCCGCUGAUGGGUCCUUCCGCAUGCGUAUCAGAGGAGAAUUAAUGGUCGUUACGCAUGGAGCAGGCGCCUGACACAUCCGUACAUACAGAGCUGGGCGGCAGAAGACAGCUAGCAUUGUGGCAGAGAGACAGAUAUAUAUAUUACAGUAGAGGCCACGCAAAAGAGGGGGCUCUCUCUUCUUCUUCCUUCUCCUUCCUGGACACCAUUUUUAUUCUUUCUGCAACCCUUGCCUAAAUAUACUACUCUGAGCCAUAAAAUCUGACUUGAGCGUCGGAGGGCCUCCACCGGGGCACCCCCGGUAGGCCCCUGACCAUUCUUUCUUAUUUUACAGGUCCUUUCACCAGGUAAAACAUGGAGAGAUCCAUCAGGGAGCCCAGCAAGAAGGGACCCAGAAGAAAACCAGAUCUAUCAUGGACCAGGAAGAGGAAAAAAUUUAUCACAGUCCAUAUAAAACCGGUGUAGAUAAGUUUUUGCCCUUCAAGGAAAAUUGGUAAAAGAAUAUAAUUAGUAAAUUCUUUCAAUUUUUAGUAUAUGGAAAAUAAUUAUCACCCAUGAUUGAAUUAUUGGACAACAUCAUCAAAGAGAACUCUAGCAAAGUCCUUUCGUAUUUUCAUAUUUUCACUCUGUACCGAAUAAUUUUUGUUUUUUUUUUUUAAAUGAGAAUUGGAGAUUAGGAGAGUAGAACCUAAGCUUGUAAAUGCAGAUUGAAUAGUCUUAUAAUUGAAAUAUCUAAAUAAAAUCAUAAACAAAAUGAAUUUUAACUCAGAUCUUAACAAAUUAAUAUAAUAAUCUCAAUUUGAUCUAGUGUAUCUUUUGAUUUACAGUUUUUUAAGUCAAAUGUCAAUGAUAAAUUUAAAAUUUUAGUAGUUUUUUUCUCGUAACUCUAUUCCUAUUAUUAGAAUCUCUCUUUUACCGAAAAAUUCUUCAUAGUUAUGGAGGAAAAAUUUUUCUUUUUCUUGAAAAACUUAUCAUUUAUUUUAUUUUAUUUAUAAUUUUAAUUAAAUCGGUUGUUCAUAAUUUUUCAAAAAUUUAGAUUUGAAAUAAAAUAUAUUUUUUUUAAUUUUAGGCCAUCAGUAAUUUUUAAGUUCAGUGACUCAUAAUAUUAAAUUUAUAUUUUUUUAAUUCACAACAAUAUUUUAAUUUUUAAGUUCUGUAAAUUCUUGUGGCUCUGUGUGAAUGUGCUUGGAUCAUGAACUAUCAAUAAGAUUCAUCACAAUCAUACCCAAGAUCAAGAUCAAAUAAAUAAGCUGAUCAACUCUGCAAAUAGAAUAUAAACUGUACAUCAUACAAAUAUUUGAAAUAUAAAGAUUACAGGACUAACAUCCACUCCAAAUUUAAUCAUAUAUAUAUGUAAUCAAUGAUACUGAUCAAUGCGAAAGAUGAAGUCAUCACUGUGAGAUCAAACAUCGAAACAUUUAUGGUAUAGUUGUUUAAGGACUGGGAGUUGAUUGAGGAGGUUUUGUGUCCUUGGCAAGGAAUGUGGGCUUUGGUAACUCUGGCAAGUGGGGAAAAGUUGGCAGUUCAGGUUUUGGUAACUCAGGCAAUUCAAGUUUUGGCAAAGUGGGAAUUUCAGGCUUUGGCAACUCAGGCAAUUCAGGUUUUGGCAGUGUGGGAAGUUCAGGCUUAGGGAAGGCUGGGACUUCUGGUAAUGGUGGAAGCUCAACCUUAGGCAGUGAAGGCAAUUCAGGCUUGGGAAGCUCAGAUACCUCAGGCAAUGCUGUUUUUAGAAGGUGUCGUGCAUCUACGGAUUGACAGAGUGAUAAGUGAGAGCAUAAUGAUGAGGGAAGGGGAGCGAUGAUCGGCCAAAAUGCGACAAGAUCAACCACCUGCAAAGUGAAUAGUAAUUAAAAUUUCUGGACAAUUUUGUUUUGCGUGUUGAUGUUCACUUAGUGUUGAGCUUUUAUAGAAGUGGGAAGUGGAGAAUGGAGAACCUUCAAUGGUAAUUUGGUGGGAAAACUUGUGUCCUGUUAGCUCAACUUCCCAUCUAUAAUCCUCCAACAACUGGCAUGACCCAUUAUAGGCUUCCAUACAAAAGUAAUCUUUCCGUCCUUCUACAUGGAUUCAAGAGAUUAGUUGGAGAGAACCACAGCUAAAAGAUUGACAUUAAGCUAAAAUAUGUUGUCAGAAAUCACAACACUUGUCAAGUUCAAGCAUUUUUACAAAUUUAAUAAUUCACCACCACUAAACUUUGACAAAUCUUCCUUUAUUGCAACGCUUAUUGUUAUUGUUGGAAUUUAAUGACUGACCGAUCCAAAUCUCCAUGCGAUGAAAGUGUUGAAUUCCAAUUUAAUAUGAUGGCCUCUUCUAAAAUACUUCUAGACAAUUUAAAUUAAAUUUCAAUUAACUUAUCAUAUUAUAAAGCUUAUUAUUAUCAAUGUCAAGACUACGUUAUGAAAAAUAUCUUUCAUAUUUUUUGUUAUUUGGAAUAAUGAGAAAAAUUAAUCAAUAAAAAUAUUUUCUUGAUUAAAGAAAAAAUUAAAUCAUUUUAAAAAAAUACUGCUUCUUGGCUCUUUCUUUCUCAUCAAUUCUAUUUUCCUGUUGUGCUCUUCCAACAAAUCCAUAGUCACCAACUUGCCCUUUGAAAUUUAAAUUAUUGGACGACAUCAUCAACGAGAAUUCUAGCAAAGUUCUCUAAUAUUUUCUUCAUCAAUGUUGAAUUUUGAGAGGGAAGGGGAAUAAUACAUAUGAAUGCGACUAAAUAGUCUUACAAUUUUAUUGAUUGUAUUGUUAUUUAUACAGUCAAAUAUAAUUAAAAAAUCUAAAUAAAAUUAUAAAUAAUUUAAAUAUUAACUUAAAUAUUAAUAAAUUAAAAUAAUGAUUCAAAUUUAAAUUAUAUGAUUUAGCAUAUUUUUCGGUUUCUAAAUCAAAUAUCCAACGAUCAAUUUAAAAUUUUAGUACUCAUAAGCCCUUGGUAUUAUUAGAAACUCUCUUACUAAAAUUUUUUAAUAAUUAUAAAUAAAAAAGUUUUAUUUUUCUUUCAUAAUAUUAGAAAUAAAACCAUAUCAUUUAUUUUAUUUAAUUUGUAAUCGAAUUAAAUCGGUUGUUCAUGAUUUUUUGAAAAAUUAGAUUUAAAAUAAAAUGGAUAAUUUUUUAAUUUUAGGCCAUCAAUAAUUUUUAAGUUCAGUAAUUCAUAAUACUAAAAUUUUUUAAAAAAAUUCACAACAACAAUUUAAUUUUUAAGUUCAGUAAUAAUUUCUCUUUGUGGCUCUGCAUGAAAGUGCUUGGAUCAUGAACUAUUAAAUAAGAUUGAUCAGUCAUACCCAAAAUCAAAUAAAUAAGCUGGAUCAACUCAGUAUAUAGAAAAUGAACUCACAAGAUACAUCAUUCAAACAACUGAAACAGAAAUAUUAUAGGACUACCACUCACUGCAAAUUAAUCAUGUAUAUGUAAAAGAAGAUAUAAAUGAUACUGAUCAAUGCGAAAGAUGAAGUCAUCACUGUGAGAUCAAAUAUAGAAACACUUAUGGUGUAGUUGUUUAAGGACUGGUGGUUGAUUGAGGAGGUUUUGUGUCCUUAGAAGGCAAUGUGGGCUUUGGCAACUCAGGCAAGUGGGGAAAAGCUGGCAAUUCAGGCUUUGGCAACUCAGGCAAUUCAGGUUUUGGCAGUAUGGGAAGUUCAGGUUUAGGAAAGGUGGAGACUUCAGGUAAUGGUGGAAGCUCAACUUUAGGCAAUGAUGGCAACUCAGGCUUGGGAAGCUCAGGUACCUCAGGCAAUUCUGUCUCCAGAAGGUGUCGUGCAUCUACAGAGAUUGAUAGAGUGAUGAGUGAGAGCAUAAUGAUGAGGGAAGAGCGAAGAUCGGCCAUAAUGCUAU
rnacentral:lncRNA from 1 species